rnacentral:rRNA from 1 species
ACGGGUGAGUAAUGUCUGGGAAACUGCCCGAUGGAGGGGGAUAACUACUGGAAACGGUAGCUAAUACCGCAUAACGUCUUCGGACCAAAGUGGGGGACCUUCGGGCCUCACACCAUCGGAUGUGCCCAGAUGGGAUUAGCUAGUAGGUGGGGUAACGGCUCACCUAGGCGACGAUCCCUAGCUGGUCUGAGAGGAUGACCAGCCACACUGGAACUGAGACACGGUCCAGACUCCUACGGGAGGCAGCAGUGGGGAAUAUUGCACAAUGGGCGCAAGCCUGAUGCAGCCAUGCCGCGUGUAUGAAGAAGGCCUUCGGGUUGUAAAGUACUUUCAGUGGGGAGGAAGGCGAUGAAGUUAAUAGCUUCGUCGAUUGACGUUACCCGCAGAAGAAGCACCGGCUAACUCCGUGCCAGCAGCCGCGGUAAUACGGAGGGUGCAAGCGUUAAUCGGAAUUACUGGGCGUAAAGCGCACGCAGGCGGUCUGUCAAGUCGGAUGUGAAAUCCCCGGGCUCAACCUGGGAACUGCAUUCGAAACUGGCAGGCUAGAGUCUUGUAGAGGGGGGUAGAAUUCCAGGUGUAGCGGUG